ensembl:Mt_tRNA
CAUUAUGAAGCUAACAAGCAUUAACCUUUUAAGUUAAAGACUGAGAGCCCUAAUCUCUCCAUAAUGA